rnacentral:rRNA from 1 species
GCUGGCGGCGCGCCUAACACAUGCAAGUCGAACGAGAAAGUGGAGCAAUCCAUGAGUACAGUGGCGUACGGGUGAGUAACACGUGGGUAAUCUACCUCUUAGUGGGGAAUAACCCUGGGAAACCGGGGCUAAUACCGCAUAAGCUCGAGAGAGGAAAGCAGCAAUGCGCUGAGAGAGGAGCCCGCGGCCGAUUAGCUAGUUGGCAGGGUAAAAGCCUACCAAGGCAUAGAUCGGUAGCCGGCCUGAGAGGGCACACGGCCACACUGGCACUGAAACACGGGCCAGACUCCUACGGGAGGCAGCAGUGGGGAAUCUUGCACAAUGGGGGAAACCCUGAUGCAGCGACGCCGCGUGAGCGAUGAAGCCCUUCGGGGUGUAAAGCUCUUUCGGCAGGGAAGAUAAUGACGGUACCUGCAGAAGCAGCUGCGGCUAACUACGUGCCAGCAGCCGCGGUAAUACGUAGGCAGCAAGCGUUGUUCGGAGUUACUGGGCGUAAAGGGUGUGUAGGCGGUUGUUUAAGUUUGGUGUGAAAUCUCCCGGCUUAACUGGGAGGGUGCGCCGAAUACUGAAUGACUUCGAGUGCGUGAGAGGAAAGUGGAAUUCCUGGUGUACCGGUGAAAUGC